rnacentral:rRNA from 1 species
UGACGAGUGGCGGACGGGUGAGUAAUGUCUGGGAAACUGCCUGAUGGAGGGGGAUAACUACUGGAAACGGUGGCUAAUACCGCAUAACGUCGCAAGACCAAAGAGGGGGACCUUCGGGCCUCUUGCCAUCAGAUGUGCCCAGAUGGGAUUAGCUUGUUGGUGAGGUAACGGCUCACCAAGGCGACGAUCCCUAGCUGGUCUGAGAGGAUGACCAG